UGGCAACUGGGCUAGGAAGGAACCCCUACACCGGCAGCAUCGACGCCAGCCCAGAGUGGUGGGAAGCAAUGGAAGCGCAGAGGAGAGGGGCAAGAUCAUUCAUGCAUGCCCCUCUCAGGUUUAUUCCAGAGCACCAUGCUGUAUUCAGAGGGAGGACAGCAGUCGGCAACCUUUCAAGUGUCCCUGGAUCUGAGCCUGAACAGCCUCAGGUGCCAACCAACGCUGCCAUCGAUGUGGAGGAGCUUGUGGACUUGCCGGCUACGCCACCAUCACCUGACCAACAACCCAUGCCUCCCAGGCGUAGGGGCAAAAGGUUGGCAACACCGGGCAGUAAUUCCAGGGGUUCCAAGAAGACCCGCAGCGAUUCAACUGGUGAAGCUUUGCAGAGGCUCGCUGACCUGAGGGUUAAGUCCUGUGAGAGCAAAGCUCAAAAGCAGCGCGAGCGAGAGGCGAUGGGUGCUAGGGCUUGCAUUGAGCUGCUAAAGGGUGAUGGGCACUUAUUUAGCUCCGAUGUUUACCACAUGGGGAUUUACCUUUUUAGUGAUCCCUACUUCUGUGAGUUCUUCCUAGCUGAUGCCAUUACACCGGAGAUGCGUGAGUAUUACAUUCGUGCCCAUUAUGCCAUGAAGUGUCCAGGGAGAGGGUUUUUCCCUCCACCAUCAUGCUCAGGAGGCUGGCUUCCUGGUGGUGGAGGGUUUGAUGGGGGCCAGGGGGGUGACCCUGGGGAUGAUGGUGCUGGGGGUGCUGAUGGAGCAGCAGUGAGGAUGAGCACCGAUUCUGAGAACAACUCAGGUUCUGAAGAUGGAUACACAACUGAAGAGGAUGAAGCUAUUGUAGAGUUGGUGGCUGCUGCUGUUCGAAGGAAUGGGCCUACAAGAGCUCCUAGAAGGGUCCCUCGCCAAUCCGGAAUGGAAUGGGUUAUGGAGACAAUGGCCAACCCAGAGCAGUGCCACAACAUGUUUCGCAUGAGAUCGGACCAGAUUCAUGCUCUGUACAAUCUACUCGUCAACAGUUACCAUCUCACUGGUACUUAUGAGGUUUGCCCUAUGGAAGCUAUUGGGAUGUUUCUGUAUGCAAUGGCAGGGGGGUAUUCAAUGAGGUCAGUGAACAAUAGAAUGGUUCGUUGCAAUGCCACUGUGAAUAGAUAUUUUCACAGGGUGUUGAAUGCUGUUAAUGAAAUGGCAGCCGACAUCAUCAAA
rnacentral:lncRNA from 1 species